AAUACUGGAAACUUUGAUGAGGUGUACUUACCUGGAGUUUUCCUAUGCCCUGUGAUGACUGCUUCUCCACUGACUGGAUGCAGCCAGGUGCCAGUUUUUGAAGGAGCCUGUCGGAUCGGAUGUGAACUGCCUUUGAGAGCACAACCAAGAGCUCCAAGAACAAAGAGGGAGUGGGCUGUUGAUGGAAUGAUGAAAUCCUCCUGUUCUGGGACUCACUCUGCCAGUCUUCUCCUUUGCCAGGUUGCUCAUUAAUCUCCAGGAUGAAAGGUGUCAUUAAACUGACAUGGAAAGAAGCCAUUAGUCCCUCAUGACUACUUAGGUGAUCACAGUGGAGGAGAUAUUUUAAGUUCUGUUUUUGAGUGCAUUGAAUACAUGAGAGAAGAAUCGUAAGGUUCCUGUUAGCUUUUGUUUAGAUC